CAAGAACUUUCCAUAAGGUAGGCGUUUUCGCUUUUUUCUUCCGCAAUGGCUGGCAUGGCAAAAAAUACUUUUGUGGUUUAGGAUAGUUCCAGCGACAAAGAGCAAUCUCCAAGCAUCCUCUCACCUGGAGAAGGCUGUAGUUUCUGGCCGGUUGGAUGUUCAAAAACAGAAUACUCAACGCCCCCAAAGAGCGGUUAUUCUUCCGAAGUUUCCAGUCAGCAUCUACAAUUGGCGCAAAGGCUCUCGGACAGUCUGCUAUUGAACAUCUCAUUCACGCAGCCCGAACCCGCCUCUCCAGGCUUACUGACUCAGAUACUUGGGGGCCCACCGCCGUUUGCAUCAUCACCCGGACUUCUCACCCAAAUAAUCGGUGAACCUGAAAGAAUUGACCCUACUAUUAAGGCUGCUGGGCUGAAGACUGAAAUCGAACGAGUGCUGUUGAUUUUUCAAAGUGCAUUACCGGACCUUUUACCACGGUCUCCAGAUAUACGUGAAAAGGUGAAAAAGAACCACCAAAGAGAGGAGAUGGAUACAAAUAUACAUCUGAAGUGUCACCAAAUAUCUAGGCACCUUCAUUACUCCACAUAAUUUUUGAAGGAGAACAAAAUAAGCUGCGUGAUCAAAUACAAAUACAGUAUUUUAUUCUUUAUCUGGACAUUUGCUUCUUGCUUGCAAUAACUAUUAUUAGACAUUUCACUGUAGUCAGUAUAUCAUUUCAUUUAUUGUGUCUUACUAGAAUUACUUUUUUGAAUUAUGCUGCCUACUCAUAGAUAUCUGCAGAUAAUUUUACCAAACUAUAAAUCCAAAGUAUCAUAUAAAUGUUAUGCAAUUGAACAUUACUUUUUAUUACCAUCAUAUAUUGUUAUAUACUGCUUUUUGAGAACUCAAGGGCAUUUUAUACUCUGAGGAACAAAGGAACAAUAGAAAAAGUACUUAAAUGUUAAUAAAUAAUAUCAGUUAAAUAUGGCUGAUGUGGUGUAGCAAGCUUGUACAUUAACACAGCCAGCUUCUUUUAAUAUCACUGCUUUACACCUAUUGAACUUAGUUGAUCUAAUUUAAUUUAUUUAAAAGCUGGAGCUAGUUUCUUGUUAAAUUAAAUUAAUAGAUGGGACAUACAGUAACUGUUGUGGCCUAGGAGGCAUG